AUGGCCUUCGCUGGGCGUGAUGCCACCUACUUCCUCAAGUGCAAGAUGGUCUUCUUCGGCACACCAAGGUUGAUUGCCGACGAGAUGGUCACCCUCUCUAGUGCACACGCCAUUGGAAUGUCCCAUUCCUCCUCCUCCUCCUCCUCCUCCUCCUCCUCAUCCUUCUCCGACUACCUCAACGCAAGCACUUCUGACAUGGCACCCACACUAAUGAGUUCUCUCAUGGAGCAAUGCGGGCCAGACAUAGGAAGUGACAACAUGGUGGUGCGGGAUGUCAAUACCCCUAACAAGGUCGACAGCAAGCACUACAAUAAUAUGUUUAGCCAUCAUGUGCUCUUCAUGUUGGAUUCCAUGCUCAUGACAUUAGAUGAUACAAGUGUGGCGGUGCAUGCCAAUGCCAACAACAAUGGUGUGUGGGGGGAGAAGUUCAAGGCAGCGAUGGUAAGGAUGGGUGCUAUCGAAGUCAAGACCAGUGCCAAUGGAUUUUGCUGUGUACAAGAUAAAAUGUUAUUCAUUUGGGUUAACCAAUUAGAUCAUUUUGAAUUUUCGGAGCAUGCCACCAAAUGGUCAUCUUCCUUCCACACCAUCUUCCUCCUCUCCCAUGACGGCUCCUCCUCCUUUCCGUGGCUUAUGCAGGCCUAA
rnacentral:rRNA from 1 species